CCUACGGGAGGCAGCAGUGAGGAAUAUUGGUCAAUGGACGAGAGUCUGAACCAGCCAAGUAGCGUGAAGGAUGACUGCCCUAUGGGUUGUAAACUUCUUUUAUAAAGGAAUAAAACGAGGCACGUGUGCCUUUUUGCAUGUACUUUAUGAAUAAGGAUCGGCUAACUCCGUGCCAGCCGCCGCGGUAAUACGGAGGAUCCGAGCGUUAUCCGGAUUUAUUGGGUUUAAAGGGGGCGUAGAUGGGUUGUUAAGUCAGUUGUGAAAGUUUGCGGCUCAAACGUAAAAUUGCAAUUGAUACUGGCAGUCUUGAGUACAGUUGAGGUAGGCGGAAUUCGUGGUGUAGCGGUGAAAUGCUUAGAUAUCACGAAGAACCCCGAUUGCGAAGGCAGCUUACUGAACUGUGACUGACAUUGAGGCUCGAAAGUGUGGGUAUCAAACAGGAUUAGAUACCCCUGUAGUC
rnacentral:rRNA from 1 species